CGAGCCAGCGCCCGCAGUCUGCCUCCUCCCGCCUUGUACCCCGCGGCCCAGAUCCACACCCCCAACUGGCCCUGCGCGCCCCCUCUCAAGGGAGGGCAAACUGAGGCGUGGAGAGGGUUCGGGGACCAGGUGGUGGGUGACGUUAAGCGAGUUACCUCGAAUCUUUACCGCAGGACCCUCACCUCUAAAGGAAUAUCGUUCAAUCCAGACGGCUGGUGUGAAGAUAAAAUAAGUUAAUGCUUGUGAAGCCCAGGAGAAAAAGUGCUGGGCACCCAGCACAGUCACAGUACUAUCUCAUCGAAAGCUUAUAAUCCUGUGAGAGAUAAUGAUCUCCAUUCUAUAGUUGAGAGACAUGGAAUAUCAGUUGGCAGACUGCUACGCAGGAGUUCCAGGAGAACAGAGGGGAUGCGAAAGAAGCAAGAUGAAAGAAUAAAGGCUGAGAAUUUUCCAGAAUUAAAGAGCGAUUUGAGAGCUCAGAUUCAGAGUGCAUACUCCAUGCUGAACAGAACAAAUUAAAGUAAAUUCCCACCUAGCCAUGCUGCAGUGAAACUAGAGCAUAUCAAGGGUAAAGGGAAAAACACAAAAGCUGCUACAAAGCAGCCCCAGACUCCUGGGACCCCAUCCAGAACCAGGUUUCAUGCUGAUGAGUCUGGCUCUCAUCCUCGAUGCUGACGGGGGUGGUCACACCCAGUCACUGAGCCAGCGUGAACCUUGGUCCUGGCCUCACACGGGCCUCAUUUAGCCUUUUCUCUCUGAGGGAGCCAAAGUCUUGACUCCUAACUGCUCCCCCUGCUUCCGUGCCCAGACCUGUAGCUUUCAUGCUACUGAGCUCUUUGUGUGCCUGUUGCAUUUCUUGUCCAUAAAGAUGUUUAUCCUGG
ensembl:lncRNA